rnacentral:snRNA from 1 species
AUACCUUUCUCGGCCUUUUGGCUAAGAUCAAGUAUAGUAUAUGUUCUUAUUAGUUUAAUAUCUGAUAUGUGGUUCAUAGAACCACAUGGUAUUAAAUCUAUUUUUCUAGGGGGAGAUCCCAUCCAUCGAUAGCUUGUUGUCGGGGCUCUCAUGCAUCGCUUGUGCCCUGCACUACAACACAUGCUAGGCACACCUG